rnacentral:rRNA from 1 species
CGGUUGAUCCUGCCGGACCCGACUGCUAUUUGGGUGAGGAUAAACCAUGCGAGUUGAAUGGGAUACCUAAAUUUCCCAUGGCAAACUGCUCAGUAACACAUGAUCAACUUACCCUAUAGAGAAAAAUAACCUCAGGAAACUGAGGAUAAUGUUUCAUAGUUGAAUAGGCUUGGAAAAGUUAUUCAACAAAAGGGAUAAAGACAUGGUCUUUAUCCGCUAUAGGAUAGGAUCGUGUUCGAUUAUGGUUGUUGGUGAGGUAACGGCUCACCAAGCCGAUAAUCGAUAGGGGCCGUGAGAGCGGGAGCCCCGAGAUGGGUACUGAGACAACGACCCAGGCCUUACGAGGCGCAGCAGGCGCGAAACCUCCGCAAUACACGAAAGUGUGACGGGGUUACCCAAAGUGCUCUUUCUAGAGCUGUGGUAGGUGAGUAAUGUCCCCUACUAGAAAGGAGAGGGCAAGGCUGGUGCCAGCCGCCGCGGUAAAACCAGCUCUUCAAGUGGUCGGGAUAAUUAUUGGGCUUAAAGUGUCCGUAGCCGGUUUAGUAAGUUCCUGGUAAAAUCGAGUAGCUUAACUAUUCGUAUGCUAGGAAUACUACUAUACUAGAGGGCGGGAGAGGUCUGAGGUACUACAGGGGUAGGGGUGAAAUCUUAUAAUCCUUGUAGGACCACCAGUGGCGAAGGCGUCAGACUGGAACGCGCCUGACGGUGAGGGACGAAAGCCAGGGGAGCGAACCGGAUUAGAUACCCGGGUAGUCCUGGCUGUAAACGAUGCAUACUAGGUGAUGGCACGGCCAUGAGCCGUGUCAGUGCCGCAGGGAAACCGUUAAGUGUGCCGCCUGGGAAGUACGGUCGCAAGGCUAAAACUUAAAGGAAUUGGCGGGGGAGCAC